CAGAGAUUUGAUAAUGUUUGUAAAACCAGUCUGACCGGUUUGUGGACCGGUUCGCUCAUAUUCAGAUAGCAAACUCCUAUGAUACCAAUUUCGGUCUCGAACACUAACAAAAUAUGAAGGCACGACAAUGUCAGAUUGGUAAGAAGGAAGAAUAUGUCGCUAUGGAAGCUUAUGUCUUGGAAUGAAAUUGAAGCACGCAGAAAUUAUGCAUCGACUAAAUGUAGAAUAAAGUUAAGAAACUUAGAGAAGUCAAAAAAUUAUCGUAAUGUCAUUUUGAUUUAGGUGGAUUUUUUUAAGUUUGAUCCGGAACUGGAGCGAUGGAGCACAACCUCGAGCUCAAACCAACACCAUCCAUCUUCUACACCUCCGCACCUCUACGUCAAUACUCCUGUCGAUGGCGCGAGACCAGACCAAGUUAGAGUUGCGGGCAACAAUGAGAAUUGGGAAUUUUUCAUCAUGUCAUCAAUAAAAAUUUGCAUGGCAGUUUAUUUUCACCCUCCCCUUCAUGCAAAUACCAGGCAUACACUCUUC
rnacentral:lncRNA from 1 species